CUUUAAUAAUUACAUUGCUCUGUUACAGUGGCUGCUUUAUUGCUGUUUAGUUUUUGUUGGUGUUUGGGGUCAGUUUGAAAAAUAAUACAGGAAGCGUCACUACAGGGAUUCGUUCACAACAGUGCGGGUGACUCCAAAUGAGCAUUUGAGGGACAUCCUGUAAAGAGGCUUCGUGCUCAAUCCCAGGCUGUUGCUCUAGUUUCAAAGCCUCCAGAAGACACCCGGCCCUUUGCUCCAGCCAUUCAGUUAUUAGGUGGCAGCUGCACUGAAUUGGCCCCAGCUCCAAGCUCAGAGUGAGCAUACUCACAUUGGACAUUGAGCUGAGCCUCCAGCCUCACUGCUCCCAGUGGAUUCUCCACGACGCACUCAUAAAGCCCGUGAUCGUCAGGGCUCAGGGAAUCGAUUCUCAGCUCCGACUUUCCCCGGGAGGUGGAAAUAUUCCACCUCGGCUGCUCGCUCCCGGUCUCUCUCCUCCACGUGAUGUUGGCUUCGGGGUUAGCAUCUCCCUGGCAGUUUAAAAGCGGCCCUGACAACCCGCAGCCUGGGCUGACUCACAGUUCAGGUGGACCUCCAGUGUGCUGUUCUUGCUUCGGAAUCGUGCUGCAGAUAGACCCAGGCGAAUCUCACAGCUGCCAGAACGCAGAGGGAGGCCGCUGUGCUCCGGGAUGAACAAGGCGACUAGCAGCGACAGCAAGACUGAGCAGGCGCCAAAAAGAAACGGAGGUCCUGGGAUUAUAGUACUCUGGACAAACAAAAUAAGAUAGAGGAAGAAAAGAAA